GCAAACUUGGUCAUUUAGAGGAAGUAAAAGUCGUAACAAGGUUUCCGUAGGUGAACCUGCGGAAGGAUCAUUACCGUGGGGCUCCGGCCCCAUUGAGAUAGCACCCUUGUCCUUUAUGUUACCGUACGUUUUCCCUGGCGGGUCCGCCCGCCACCGGGGACACCAUAAACUCUUGCAGUAUAGCAGUACCUGUCUGAAAAACAAAGCAAUAAAUUAAAACUUUCAACAACGGAUCUCUUGGUUCUGGCAUCGAUGAAGAACGCAGC
rnacentral:misc_RNA from 1 species